rnacentral:lncRNA from 1 species
AGUCACAUAGCUGCGUGGUACGUGACUGGAGGCAUAUCACUGUCCUCGCCUGGAUCACGCCAAUGUGGCCCCAACCCCACCUCCCUCCCCACCCCAUGAUGUCAGAAAAAACCUGACACAGAAAAUUGGCUGGGGCCAAGAGAAAGUUCACAGACUAUCGUCAGUGGAACAUUGCUGGUGUUGGUACCGGAGCAACCGACACCAAAAAGAAGAAAAUAAAUCAUGGCACUAACCCUGAGACAACCACUUCGGGGGGCUGCCACUCGCCUGAGGAUGCAAGUUGACCAGUUUGUGUUCCCAUUGGGUCUGAGAACUUUGCCCUUAAAAUCCAUUCCUGACCCCUGCGUACCGCUUCCUGGCCUGGGCAAUAGAGUCGAGGGGCCACCCUCAGUCACCUUCCUUUGACUCUCCCCACAGAAACAACAGAACGGAGCUCAGCUGAAAGAGGAAAAGAAGGCAAGCCACCAACAUCAGCAAGCCCUAAGGAGGCAGCUAGAGGCCCAGGAUCAUACCAUACGAAUCCUUAUGUGUCAGAAAACUGAACUGGAGACAGCGCUCCAUGACAGCCAGGAUGCUGCCAGGAAAUUUGAAGAAGAUUCCAAGGAUC